GCCCCUGUAGCUCAGGUGGAUAGAGCGGCGGUUUCCUAAACCGUAGGCCGGGCGUUCGAGUCGCCCCAGGGGCG
rfam:Gemmatimonadetes bacterium 13_1_20CM_2_70_10 13_1_20cm_2_scaffold_46, whole genome shotgun sequence.